rnacentral:rRNA from 1 species
AUGCAGGCGCCGGCGUGUACCAAUGCUCCGGCGUGCCCGUUCCCCUUCGCCAUGAUGCAGUCUCAUGGUGCCAGGAUCGUCAGGUUGCACACCUACGACUGGGUUGCGCUGCUCCUCCUGAUCGCCAUGGAAGGUGUCCUCAACGCCAUAGAGCCGUUCCACCGCUUCGUCGGCGAAGGCAUGAUCGCGGACCUCAGAUACCCCAUGAAGAGCAACACCGUCCCGGUCUGGACCGUGCCGAUCGUUGCUGUCAUUGCACCUAUGCUCAUUUUCAUCGCCAUCUACAUCUGGAGGAGGAAUGCGUAUGAUUUGCACCAUGCUACAAUUGGUAUUCUGUUUUCUGUGCUGAUCACCGGCGUCCUGACGGAUGCGAUCAAGAACGCCGUGGGCCGUCCGCGACCCAACUUCUUCUGGCGCUGCUUCCCUGAUGGAAUCGCUGUGUACGACAACAUUACCACAGCAGUCAUAUGCCACGGCGACGCUAGCGUGAUUAAAGAAGGCCACAAGAGCUUCCCAAGUGGCCACUCUUCCUGGUCCUUUGCCGGCCUGGGGUUCCUGUCGUGGUACCUCGCCGGGAAGAUCACCGUCUUCGACCGACGAGGGCACGUCGCCAAGCUGUGCGUCGUCAUCCUGCCUCUCCUGCUCGCCGCCGUCAUCGCCAUCUCGCGGGUAGAUGACUACUGGCACCAUUGGCAGGACGUCUUCGCGGGCGGCAUCCUUGGAAUGGUGGUUGCGUCUGUUUGCUACCUGCAGUUCUUUCCACCACCCUCUGAUGACAAAGGUUUCUGGCCUCAUGCCCACUUCAGGGACAUCAGCGAGAGGGAAGAGGAGAGCCAGAGGCGGCGCGCUACUGAAAUGAGCAACAGUGGCUCAACCGCAAUUGUCCCUCGGCAAGGUGAGACGGGGGCAAACACGAGCCGAACGUUGGACGCGAUGGAGUCCGGUACGUAG